UACGUAGGGAGCAAGCGUUGUCCGGAAUCAUUGGGCGUAAAGCGCGCGUAGGCGGCCCUGUAAGUCCGUUGUGAAAGUCAAAGGCUCAACUUCUGAAAGCCGAUGGAUACUGCAGGGCUAGAGUCCGGAAGAGGCGAGUGGAAUUCCUGGUGUAGCGGUGGAAUGCGCAGAUAUCAGGAGGAACACCAAUAGCGAAGGCAGCUCGCUGGGACGGUACUGACGCUAAGGCGCGAAAGCGUGGGAGCGAGUCCGG
rnacentral:rRNA from 1 species